rnacentral:lncRNA from 11 species
GGCUUCUUACCUUCUACUCUAGAGGAGAGGUGCUGCAGGCCGGUGCCCAUGCUUUCUCUUCAAGGCCUGCAUGUUACACACACUCUUUCCAAGGCAUUUAAAGAAGGCAAGUUCUUAAAGCAGUGUCUUACUCUACAGGACAGGUGCUGCCGGUAGGCAUGCCCACGCUUUCUGCACCACGCCAGCAUCCACACACUCUUUCCAAGGCAUUUUAAGGAGGCUUCCCAUUUACAAGUAUUUUUCCCUAUGAGAAGUUUCUGUUAAGUGCAGGGGAUGCAUAUUGGAAAGAAAUGGAAAAGUUGGAGGAGCUUCAGAGGUGGCACAUCAUCGCUGAAGAAUCUUUCAUAACUGUCAGAUCCUGCCAUGAGAUUGGAGCAUUAUUAAAGUUACCUCGAGCAAGCUGCACUAAUUGGAAAUAUUUCUUGUUUUCCUGUUCCCUUGGUACUUUAUCUCCUGUCUUAUUAACAACGCUUCCUAAAGCUCUGUAUUCCCAGUAACUGUCAUCUUAAUGAUGUGAAAAUCAAUAGCAAAUGUUGUCAUUUUAAAAACUAUUAUUGGACUGCCAAGCAUGGAGAACUACAGGAAGGCAUGGUGACCUUGUAAAGUUUCUGAUUCCAGUAAAGAAAGAGGCAUCUGGAGUGGAAUCCUUUGUAACUAUUUUCCCUCUUUUCAUUAUAAAGAUAAUUGUU